rnacentral:rRNA from 1 species
GACGAACGCUGGCGGCGUGCCUAACACAUGCAAGUCGAGGGGCAGCAUGACGAUAGCUUGCUAUUGUCGAUGGCGACCGGCGCACGGGUGAGUAACGCGUAUCCAACCUUCCCGUUGCUAGGGGAUAACCUUGCGAAAGUAAGACUAAUACCCUAUGAAGUUCUUCGCAGGCAUCUAAAGAGAACGAAAGAUUUAUCGGCAACGGAUGGGGAUGCGUCUGAUUAGGUUGUUGGCGGGGUAACGGCCCACCAAGCCCACGAUCAGUAGGGGUUCUGAGAGGAAGGUCCCCCCACAUUGGAACUGAGACACGGUCCAAACUCCUACGGGAGGCAGCAGUGAGGAAUAUUGGUCAAUGGACGAGAGUCUGAACCAGCCAAGUAGCGUGCAGGACGACGGCCCUAUGGGUUGUAAACUGCUUUUAUACGGGAAUAAAGUGGGCCACGCGUGGUCUUUUGCAUGUACCGUAUGAAUAAGGACCGGCUAAUUCCGUA